UACGGGGGGAGCAAGCGUUGUUCGGAUUUACUGGGCGUAAAGGGCGCGUAGGCGGCGCAACAAGUCACUUGUGAAAUCUCCGGGCUUAACUCGGAAAGGUCAAGUGAUACUGAUGUGCUAGAGUGCAGAAGGGGCAACCGGAAUUCUUGGUGUAGCGGUGAAAUGCGUAGAUAUCAAGAGGAACACCUGAGGUGAAGACGGGUUGCUGGGCUGACACUGACGCUGAGGCGCGAAAGCUAGGGUAGCAAACGGG
rnacentral:rRNA from 1 species